UCGAGAAUAUUCCACAAUGGGGGAAACCCUGAUGGAGCGACACCGCGUGGGGGAUGAAGGCCUUCGGGUCGUAAACCCCUUUUACUUGGGACGAAGUAAUUGACGGUACCAAGCGAAUAAGAGGUUGCUAACUCUGUGCCAGCAGCAGCGGUAAUACAGAGACCUCAAGCGUUAUCCGGAUUCACUGGGCGUAAAGCGUCCGCAGGUGGUCUAUUAAGUCAUUUGUCAAAUCCCGGUGCUCAACAUCGGAACUGCGAGUGAUACUGAUAGACUUGAGGAUGGAAGAGGUAAGAGGAACUGCUGGUGUAGUAGUAAAAUGCGUUAAUAUCAGCAGGAACACCAAAGGCGAAGGCAUCUUACUGGGACAUUCCUGACACUCAUGGACGAAAGCGUGGGGAGC
rnacentral:rRNA from 1 species